CCUACGGGAGGCAGCAGUGAGGAAUAUUGGUCAAUGGACGAGAGCCUGAACCAGCCAAGUAGCGUGAAGGAUGACUGCCCUCUGGGUUGUAAACUUCUUUUAUAUGGGAAUAAAAUGUUCCACGUGUGGGUUUUUGUAUUUACCAUAUGAAUAAGGAUCGGCUAACCUCGUUCCAGCACCCCCGGUAAUACGGAGGAUCCGAGCGUUAUCCGGAUUUAUUUGGUUUAAAGGGAGCGUAGGUGGAUUGUUAAGUCAGUUGUGAAAGUUUGCGGCUCAACCGUAAAAUUGCAGUUGAAACUGGCAGUCUUGAGUGCAGUAGAGGUGAGCGGAAUUCGUGGUGUAGCGGUGAAAUGAGUAGAUAUCACGAAGAACUCCGAUUGCGAAGGCAGCUCACUGGACUGCAACUGACACUGAGGCUCGAAAGUGUGGGUAUCAAACAGGAUUAGAUACCCCAGUAGUC
rnacentral:rRNA from 1 species